AUUGAACGCUGGCGGCAGGCCUAACACAUGCAAGUCGAACGGUAGCACAGAGAGCUUGCUCUCGGGUGACGAGUGGCGGACGGGUGAGUAAUGUCUGGGAAACUGCCUGAUGGGGGGGGAUAACUACUGGAAACGGUAGCUAAUACCGCAUAACGUCGCAAGACCAAAGAGGGGGACCUUCGGGCCUCUUGCCAUCAGAUGUGCCCAGAUGGGAUUAGCUAGUAGGUGGGGUAAUGGCUCACCUAGGCGACGAUCCCUAGCUGGUCUGAGAGGAUGACCAGCCACACUGGAACUGGGACACGGUCCAGACUCCUACGGGAGGCAGCAGUGGGGAAUAUUGCACAAUGGGCGCAAGCCUGAUGCAGCCAUGCCGCGUGUGUGAAGAAGGCCUUCGGGUUGUAAAGCACUUUCAGCGGGGAGGAAGGCGGUGAGUUUAAUAAGCUCACCGAUUGACGUUACCCGCAGAAGAAGCACCGGCUAACUCCGUGCCAGCCGCCGCGGUAA
rnacentral:rRNA from 1 species